UGGUAGUCCACGCCGUAAACGAUGGAUACUCGCUGCCGGCGAUACAAUGUCGGUGGCUUAGCGAAAGCGUUAAGUAUCCCACCUGGGGAGUACGCUCGCAAGAGUGAAACUCAAAAGAAUUGACGGGGGCCCGCACAAGUGGUGGAGCAUGUGGUUUAAUUCGAUGAUACGCGAGGAACCUUACCUAGGCUAGAAUGCGCGUGACCGGCCCAGAGAUGGGCCUUUCCUUCGGGACACAAAGCAAGGUGCUGCAUGGCCGUCGUCAGCUCGUGCCGUGAGGUGUUGGGUUAAGUCCCGCAACGAGCGCAACCCCUAUGGUUAGUUGCCAGCACGUAAUGGUGGGGACUCUAGCCAGACUGCCUGCGCAAGCAGUGAGGAAGGCGGGGACGACGUCAGGUCAUCAUGGCCCUUACGCCUAGGGCUACACACGUGCUACAAUGGACGGUACAGCGGGUUGCCAACCAGCGAUGGUGCGCCAAUCCCGAAAAGCCGUUCUCAGUUCGGAUCGGAGUCUGCAACUCGACUCCGUGAAGCUGGAAUCACUAGUAAUCGCGUAUCAGCAAUGACGCGGUGAAUACGUUCCCGGGCCUUGUACACACCGCCCGUCAAGCCAUGGAAGUUUGGUAGACCUGAAGCUGGUGCUCCGCAACGAAGCCAGUUAGGGUAGAACAGGUAACUAGGGCUAAGUCGUAACAAGGUAGCCGUACCGGAAGGUGCGGCUGGAUCACCUCCUUUCUGGA
rnacentral:rRNA from 1 species